GCGGGUAUAGCUCAGUUGGUUAGAGCGCCUGGUUGUGGUCCAGGAGGUCGUCGGUUCGAACCCGUCUACUCGCC
rnacentral:tRNA from 1 species